GGGGAUGUAGCUCAGUGGUAGAGCGUUCGCUAUGCAUGCGAAAAGCCCUGGGUUCGAUCCCCAGCAUUUCUA
rnacentral:tRNA from 1 species